CGAGCAGUCAUUUUGAGAUCAGUGGAGAAUGAUGGAGUCAGAAGCUGAGGCUCUGGUACAACAGCAGAAGACUGAAGGAUGGAGCAUCCCUUUCACCCCGAGAACAGUGUAUAGAGGUGAGAGUGUGCCUAGGCUUGGGCCACUGGUGUCUGCAUUCUUGUGCUCCUCCUGUCAGCCUGAGAUAAUCUGGAUAAGUCAGAAUCACAGAAAGAAAAAACUCAAGCAAUGGACCCCACGCAAGCUCAACCCAGUGCGGCCAACCCCAGAAACCCUGCAAAGUCAUAAAUGCAAAGAAAGUCUUUUGCUGUAAGGCUCCAAGACUUGGGGGAGUACCUGACAGACAACAUUCUCAUAGAAGAACUAACUGAUGGGUAGGCUAUGGUUUUGCAUGGACUGCAUUGCCUGGACCUCUGUGUUGAGAGUGUCAGGCAGAGAUCAUUGCUUUGUUUUGUACCAUCCAGAUUUAGGAAAGGGUUUCCCCCCUUUUCCAUGUAUUACUCCUUCCAUGACCUUUUCCUGAAGUACUCAUUGUUCAGACCCACGGGAUAAUCCACCCCAUUUAUAAGGUUCCACUCCCUCCCACUGAGCCACUUUUGGCCUCUCAGUCCUCCUGUCUGCGGCUGACAACCCCUUUGCCUAUGCUGGGAAGACGUCAGGUGUAUGGCAACACUGAGCAAGUGGAAUUCAGAGAGAUGAGGGUUCUUUGACGGUGCAACAAGGCGCAGAUACUUAGUUGGUUGAACCUCCUUGGAGAGCAGAGAAGGGAGCGGCUGCAUGCUCACUGUGAUGGUAGGUGACGGUAGGUGACAGUAGGUGACAGUAGGUGUUGGUAGGUGAGGCACCCCAUGCGCAAACUGGGGUUCUUUGUGAUGAGAUGGUCACUCCUCCCUUUGCCCUACCUAUCACAGACAGGUGGGCGUGGCCUUCCGAAUGCCCCUGCCUCCCUCUCUGAAAUGAAAUCUCUAAAAGCUGAACAGGGUGGAGAACUGUAAGCAGAGAUUCAGAUUCAGGCUGCAACAGAACAGAAGGAGUCAAAGCCCGGGAGGAAAGCCUGAAUGGGCUUGGAGAGGACAAAAUAAAACAGCAGACACAUUUAUACAGGUCUCUCCUACCUCUCAGAACAAAACAAUUAUGAGAUAAGAGAGGCAUGGAUGGAGGAAAUUCUUUCAUUUUUCACAUUGCGGGCUGGAGAGAUCCAAUAGGCUGUUUAUGAAGAACAAUAAAGAAGAUACAUGUGUUCAGUAAAGAGGUUGUUACAAAUAUAUCGGGUGGUUUUGAAAAGCCAGGGUUUUCUCCCCGCUUUUGGAUGAAGCUGUCAGCCGAGUAUUAAAAGAUUUUCUUUUUCUUUCUC
rnacentral:sRNA from 1 species